GAUGAACGCUAGCGGGAGGCCUAACACAUGCAAGCCGAGCGGUAGAGUUUCUUCGGAAACUUGAGAGCGGCGCACGGGUGCGUAACACGUGUGCAACCUACCUUUAUCUGGGGGAUAGCCUUUCGAAAGGAAGAUUAAUACCCCAUAAUAUAAUGAUUGGCAUCAAUUAUUAUUGAAAACUCCGGUGGAUAGAGAUGGGCACGCGCAAGAUUAGAUAGUUGGUGAGGUAACGGCUCACCAAGUCAAUGAUCUUUAGGGGUCCUGAGAGGGAGAUCCCCCACACUGGUACUGAGACACGGACCAGACUACUACGGGAGGCAGCUGUGAGGAAUAUUGGACAAUGGGUGAGAGCCUGAUCCAGCCAUCCCGCGUGAAGGAUGACGGUCCUAUGGAUUGUAAACUUCUUUUGUACAGGGAUAAACCUACCCUCGUGAGGGUAGCUGAAGGUACUGUACGAAUAAGCACCGGCUAACUCCGUG
rnacentral:rRNA from 1 species